UUUAAUGAGAGUUUGAUCCUGGCUCAGGACGAACGCUGGCGGCGUGCCUAAUACAUGCAAGUAGAACGCUGAGGUUUGGUGUUUACACUAGACUGAUGAGUUGCGAACGGGUGAGUAACGCGUAGGUAACCUGCCUCAUAGCGGGGGAUAACUAUUGGAAACGAUAGCUAAUACCGCAUAAGAGUAAUUAACACAUGUUGUUAUUUAAAAGGAGCAAUUGCUUCACUGUGAGAUGGACCUGCGUUGUAUUAGCUAGUUGGUGAGGUAAAGGCUCACCAAGGCGACGAUACAUAGCCGAC
rnacentral:rRNA from 1 species